rnacentral:SRP_RNA from 1 species
AGCGACCCCUCGCGUGGUGUCACCUCACUGAACUCCCCCAGGGCCUGACGGCAGCAAGGGCAGGUGGGCUCUGGCAGGUGCGCGAGGGGUCUUCGCA